UCACUUUAGCAGUAAAUACACCAAAACUGGAUGGCACAAAGAUUAGCAAGACUCCUGUGCAAAGAUGAUAUGCAAAUUCCUAAAGCAUUCCAUAUUCUA
rnacentral:snRNA from 1 species